CUGAAUACUCUCCGAAGGCGCUGUAGAUUAGUAGAAUGUGCAUUUCUUAGGUCUAGGUGUCUGAAUACUCUCCGAAGGCGCUGUAGAUUAGUAGAAUGUGCAUUUCUUAGGUCUAGGUGUCUGAAUACUCUCCGAAGGCGCUGUAGAUUAGUAGAAUGUGCAUUUCUUAGGUCUAGGUGUCUGAAUACUCUCAGAAGGCGCUGUAGAUUAGUAGAAGGUGCAUUUCUUAGGUCUAGGUGUCUGAAUACUCUCCGAUGGCGCUGUAGAUUAGUAGAAUGUGCAUUUCUUAGGUCUAGGUGUCUGAAUACUCUCCG
ensembl:lncRNA